UAAGCGGAGGAAAAGAAACUAACAAGGAUUCCCCUAGUAACUGCGAGUGAAGCGGGAAAAGCUCAAAUUUAAAAUCUGGUGGCCUUUGUCCAUCCGAGUUGUAAUUUAGAGAAGCGUCUUCCGCGCUGGACCGUGCACAAGUCUCCUGGAAUGGAGCGUCAUAGAGGGUGAGAAUCCCGUCUUUGGCACGGACACACCAGGGCUUUUGUGAUGCGCUCUCAAAGAGUCGAGUUGUUUGGGAAUGCAGCUCAAAAUGGGUGGUGAACUCCAUCUAAAGCUAAAUAUUGGCGAGAGACCGAUAGCGAACAAGUACCGUGAGGGAAAGAUGAAAAGCACUUUGGAAAGAGAGUGAAACAGUACGUGAAAUUGUUGAAAGGGAAACGCUUGAAGUCAGUCGCGUCGCCCGAGACUCAGCCUUGCCUCGGCUUGGUGUACUUCUCGGCUGACGGGUCAGCAUCAAUUUUGCCCCUUGGAUAAUGGCGAGGGAAAUGUGACACCUUUACGGGUGUGUUAUAGUCUCUCGUCGCAUGCAAGGGUCGGGAUUGAGGAACUCAGCACGCGCCUUUGGGCGUCGGGGCGUUCGCCCACGAUACGUGCUUAGGAUGNUGGCGUAAUGGCUUUAAACNANC
rnacentral:rRNA from 1 species